GACGAACGCUGGCGGCGUGCCUAAUACAUGCAAGUAGAACGCAGUUGCGAACGGGUGAGUAACGCGUAGGUAACUGCCUCAUAGCGGGGGAUAACUAUUGGAAACGAUAGCUAAUACCGCAUACUGUGAGAUGGACCUGCGUUGUAUUAGGUAGUUGGUGAGGUAAAGGGCCACCAAGGCGACGAUACAUAGCCGGCCUGAGAGGGUGAACGGCCAAGAUGGGACUGGGACAAGGCCCAGAAUCCUAGGGGAGGCAGCAGUAGGGAAACUUCGGAAAUGGGGGGAAGUCUGGACGAGCAACGCCGGGUGAGAGAAGAAGGUUUUCGGAUCGUAAAGCUCUGUUGAGAGAGAAGCGGUAACUAAACAGAAAGGAACGGCUAACUACGUGCCAGCAGCCGCGGUAAUUC
rnacentral:rRNA from 1 species